AAUGAACGCUGGCGGCGUGCCUAAUACAUGCAAGUCGAGCGAACAGACGAGGUGCUUGCUCCUCUGACGUUAUCAGCGGACGGGAGCGUCACACGUGGAUAACCUACCUAUCCGACUGGGAUAACUUCGGCAAACCGUAUCUUAUACCGGAUAAUAUAUUGACCCGCAUGGUUCCCUCGUUAGAUACGGUUUUGCUGUCACUUAUAGAUGGAUCCGCGCCGCAUUCGCUAGUUGGUAAGGUAACGGCUUACCAAGGCAACGAUGCGUAGCCGACCUGAGAGGGUGAUCGGACACACUGGAACUGAGACUCGGCACAGACUCCGACGGGAGGAAGCAGUAGGGAAUCUUCCGCAAGGGGGGAAAGCCUGACGGAGCAACGCCGCGUGAGUGAUGAAGGUCUUCGGAUCGUAAAACUCUGUUAUUAGGGAAGAACAAAUGUGUAAGUAACUAUGCACGUAUUGACGGUACCGAAUCAGAAAGCCACGGCUAACUACGUG
rnacentral:rRNA from 1 species